rnacentral:misc_RNA from 1 species
GUGAAUCAUCGAAUUUUUGAACGCAAAUUGCACUCUCUUCGGAGAGUAUGCCUGUUUGAGGGUCAGCCUAAAAAAAAUCGACGUAGUCGCUGUUUCGCGUUGACAUUCGUCGGAUAUUGGUUCAUCUUAAACUUUUGGGGUUUUAUGCGGCUUAAAAUUUUCUUUACGAUUCCACGAACGUUUCUAAGAUUUUACUUCUUACACACGUUUAAGGUAUCGAUCUUUAUUAGACGUGGCCGUUGCAUCGGAUCGCGUUCAUAAAUAUUUCGUUAACUUACCUCAUACAGGUAACA